UACGAAGGGUGCAAACGUUGCUCGGAAUUAUUGGGCGUAAAGCGCACGUAGGCGGCUUAGCAAGUCGGAAGUGAAAUCCCUCGGCUCAACCAAGGAAGUGCUUUCGAAACUGCUGAGCUUGAGUACUAAAGAGGAUCGCGGAAUUCCCGGUGUAGAGGUGAAAUUCGUAGAUAUCGGGAGGAAUACCAGUGGCGAAGGCGCUGGGCUGGACGGUCAUUGACGCUGAGGUGCGAAAGCGUGGGGAGCAAACAGG
rnacentral:rRNA from 1 species